CCUUCUGGGAUGCAGAGGAGAGAAGCACUCAGAGGUGUGGGAGUACGAGUCUCCCUUGUCUGAGAGGCCGCCUCGGCGGACACCACGUUACAUUUGUCAUGUCUCCUUAGGCUCCUCUUGGCUGUGACAGUUUCUCAGACCUUCCUUAUUUGUGAUGACCUGGACAGUUUUGAGGAGUCCUGGUCAGGCUGUAUCCUAGUCCAGUUGUCCUGAGACCACCAAGAACAAACCUUUAGUCUGACAGUCAGCUCAGUUGAUCCACUGCAAUGAGGGGGAGGAACUGAGGGCAUCUGACUACACAGAGGGCAAGGAGGCUCCCAGCUUUCUGGUCGGCUGAGAAAACUGGCCUGUCUGGUCCGGUUCGGCUGCACUCCACACACCCCCACCCCCGCCCCACCGCCGGGGCGGGCUGGCAGAGAAC